rnacentral:rRNA from 1 species
CACUCUAGAGAGACUGCCAGGGAUAACCUGGAGGAAGGUGGGGAUGACGUCAAAUCAUCAUGCCCCUUAUGCUUAGGGCUACACACGUGCUACAAUGGGUAGUACAGAGGGUUGCCAAGCCGUAAGGCGGAGCUAAUCCCUUAAAGCUACUCUCAGUUCGGAUUGUAGGCUGAAACUCGCCUACAUGAAGCUGGAGUUACUAGUAAUCGCAGAUCAGAAUGCUGCGGUGAAUGCGUUCCCGGGUCUUGUACACACCGCCCGUCACACCACGGGCGUUGGAGACGCCCGAAGCCGAUUAUCUAACCUUUUGGAAGAAGUCGUCGAAGGUGGAAUCAAUAACUGGGGUGAAGCAGUAACAAGGUAGCCGGAUCAGACGGUGCGGCUGGAACACCCCCUUUCUAAGGAGA